CUUUUCUGUGACCUCUGCCUUGCUAAGAUGGAUUUUGUUGGUAAUGAUUCAAUUUCAUUGGUAAUAGUUAUACAUCAUAUUUUCAUAUUAAUAAAAUUAUAAGUAAUUGGAGGUUGACAUCGUAAGUUGACAUAGGACGUGAUGUGUAAGUUCAAUAGGUUUAUAAGGACAAAUAUUGCUAAAAAUCAAUUUAAGGUGGUAAAUAUUGCUUGUAUAUAAAAUUAAUUUAUAUUCCUGCUGUUAAGUGACUGUAUUAUAAAUAAUAUUUGUGUUUGUAGGUAAUCUGUCCAUUAGUGGUAAAUAAAUUGUUUCAACGAUAAGAAACUUGGCAAUAUUGUUAUAAACCGAACUUUAAAAGUGUUAAUGAUUUUUUAUUUUUUUUUGGUCAAUAUUGCACAUUCUACAUUUUUUUUCAGGUGUAAACUAGGUAUUUAUAUUUGAGUUUCAAAUAUGUGCUUAUUUCCUAAAGUAUUUGGUCAAAUGAAGUUAGGAUGAAUAUUAUGCAUAAAACAUUACAGGAUAGUAAGUAAAAUUAAAUCUAGUUAACACUGUACUAAACUAGUUUGUCUGUGAAUUAUUAUUAUUAUUAUUAUUUUUUUUUUUUUAUGCAAUUGCAGAUGCCACGUGGAAAAGGUUUCCGCCGGUCCCAGGCAGCCAAGAGGAGAAAUGCUGAGCGCUACUCACUUGGUUCGUUCAUGAACUUGGAUGAGGUUAAGCCUCCUCUCACAAAAAAGGCAGCUUCCCAGAGCUCUGAGAAAGAGAGCCCUAACAUUAAUACUACGGAUCAAAACUGCCCCAAGGCAGGCGAAACUUGUCAUAACUGCCUCAAGGCAGGCAAUACUUGUCAUAACUGCCUCAAGGUGGGCAAUACUUGUCAAAACUGCCUCAAGGCGGGCAAUACUUGUCAUAACUGCCUCAAGGCAGGCGAAACUUGUCAAAACUGCCUCAAGGCAGGCAAUACUUGUCAUGACUGCCUCAAGGCAGGCAAUACUUGUCAUGAUUGCCUCAAGGCAGGCAAUACUUGUACAAAGUCUGGAAAAAGUUUUCCAAAGUCUGAUAAGUGCAAUGAUGCUGCUGCAUGUUUUCAUGUUAAUAGCUCUGAUUAUUUUCCCCAGCAAGUCAUACGGGGUUCCUUCCAUCAGGGUGAUGCGCAAUUUGGUUUGAACAGAAACCGUCAGUGUGCAGUGAACAGUAUGGCAGCAGUCAUGAUGAGUGUGCUGAAGGAUGUGCUGAUGUGGACAAUAGAGGACCUGAAUGCUGUUCUUUUGCAUGGAAAUGAACUGUACACAUCAAUGAGAUUGCAAGGCAAGAUCAAUGAUCGAACAGGGCUGGGUCAUAUUUCUGUUGCAGAACUGCCAAAAGUGCACACACUUCAGAACACAACAUUCUCAAUAAAGCAUGGAGAAUCUUUCUCAGGUGUUUUUGGUGUUGAUUUCUAUGAUGACUCAUUGAGAGAUGUUUCCAUGUCUAUAGAAGAAGCACUUCAG
ensembl:lncRNA